rnacentral:piRNA from 2 species
UGACAUGAAUGAUUGUGGAAGCCCAGAGA